UGCGUAGGCGGAUUAAUAAGUCAGUGGUGAAAACCUGCAGCUUAACUGUAGAACUGCCAUUGAUACUGUUAGUCUUGAGUACGGUCAAGGUAGGCGGAAUGUGUAAUGUAGCGGUGAAAUGCUUAGAUAUUACACAGAACACUGAUUGCGAAGGCAGCUUACUGGACCAUUACUGACGCUGAGGCACGAAAGCGUGGGGAGCGAACAGGAUUAGAUACCCUGGUAGUCC
rnacentral:rRNA from 1 species